rnacentral:rRNA from 1 species
CGGCAGGCCUAAUACAUGCAAGUCGAACGCUCCAGGAAUGGAGAGUGGCAGACGGGUGAGUAACGCGUGGGAACCUUCCCAGUGGUACGGAAUAGCCCGGGGAAACUCGGGGUAAUACCGUAUACGCCCGCAAGGGGAAAGAUUUAUCGCCAUUGGAUGGGCCCGCGUCGGAUUAGCUAGUUGGUGGGGUAAUGGCCUACCAAGGCGACGAUCCGUAGCUGGUCUGAGAGGAUGAUCAGCCACACUGGGACUGAGACACGGCCCAGACUCCUACGGGAGGCAGCAGUAGGGAAUAUUGGACAAUGGGCGAAAGCCUGAUCCAGCCAUGCCGCGUGAGUGACGAAGGCCUUCGGGUUGUAAAGCUCUUUUGGCGGGGACGAUAAUGACGGUACCCGCAGAAUAAGCCCCGGCUAACUUCGUGCCAGCAGCCGCGGUAAUACGAAGGGGGCUAGCGUUGUUCGGAAUCACUGGGCGUAAAGCGCACGUAGGCGGACUUUCAAGUCAGGGGUGAAAUCCCGGAGCUCAACUUCGGAAUUGCCUUUGAUACUGUUGGUCUCGAGU